UACGGAGGAUGCGAGCGUUAUCCGGAUUUAUUGGGUUUAAAGGGUGCGUAGGCGGCUUUUUAAGUCAGCGGUGAAAUUUUGCAGCUUAACUGUAACAGUGCCGUUGAUACUGGGGAGCUAGGAUUUGGUUGCUGUGGGUGGAAUGUGUGGUGUAGCGGUGGAAUGCGUAAAUAUCAGGAGCAACACCCGUGGCGAAGGCUGCUACCUGGAACGUUACUGACGCUGAGGCGCGAAAGCUAGGGGAGCGAACGGGAUUAGAUACCCGGGUAGUCCCUGAG
rnacentral:rRNA from 1 species